rnacentral:piRNA from 2 species
CACCACUUAAAACUCAUUCUUUAUAUGUGG